rnacentral:rRNA from 1 species
UACGGAGGGGGCAAGCGUUGUUCGGAAUUACUGGGCGUAAAGGGCUCGUAGGCGGCCAACUAAGUCGGACGUGAAAUCCCUCGGCUUAACCGGGGAACUGCGUCCGAUACUGGAUGGCUUGAGUUUGGGAGAGGGAUGCGGAAUUCCAGGUGUAGCGGUGAAAUGCGUAGAUAUCUGGAGGAACACCGGUGGCGAAGGCGGCAUCCUGGACCAAUACUGACGCUGAGGAGCGAAAGCCAGGGGAGCAAACGGG